CGAACGCUGGCGGCGCGCCUAAUGCAUGCAAGUCGAACGAGAACUAGUUCAAUCGUAAGAUUGAACUAGGGACAGUGGCGAACGGGUGCGUAACACGUGAGAAACCUGCCCUGGAGAUCGGGAUAGCCCGAGGAAACUCGGAUUAAUACCGGAUAUGCUCACAGGACCACAUGGUCCGGUGAGGAAAUAGUCCGCUGCUCCAGGAUGGUCUCGCGGCCUAUCAGCUUGUUGGUGAGGUAAUGGCUCACCAAGGCUCCGACGGGUAGCUGGUCUGAGAGGACGAUCAGCCACACUGGGACUGAGACACGGCCCAGACUCCUACGGGAGGCAGCAGCAGGGAAUAUUGCACAAUGGGCGAAAGCCUGAUGCAGCGACGCCGCGUGCGGGAUGAAGGCCUUCGGGUUGUAAACCGCUUUCAGGAGGGACGAAAAUGACGGUACCUCCAGAAGAAGGCCCGGCCAACUAC
rnacentral:rRNA from 1 species